rnacentral:rRNA from 1 species
UGACGCAGCGACGCCGCGUGAGUGAUGAAGGCCUUCGGGUUGUAAAGCUCUGUCAAGGGGGAAGAAUACUGACGGUACCCCUAAAGGAAGCCCCGGCUAACUACGUGCCAGCAGCCGCGGUAA